rnacentral:rRNA from 1 species
UACGGGGGGGGCAAGCGUUGUUCGGAAUUACUGGGCGUAAAGGGCUCGUAGGCGGCCAACUAAGUCAGACGUGAGAUCCCCAGGCUCAACCUGGGAACUGCGUCUGAUACUGGAUGGCUUGAAUUCGGGAGAGGGAUGCAGAAUUCCCGGUGUAGAGGUGAAAUUCGUAGAUAUCGGGAGGAACACCAGUGGCGAAGGCGGCGAUCUGGGCAGAUACUGACGCUGAGGUGCGAAAGCGUGGGGAGCAAACAGG